GGAGUCAGAUGAAGAUUUUGCCAACCAUAGUGACAAUGAUCAAAACCGGCACACCACACAGAUGAGUGAUGAAGAGGAGGAGGAUGAUGGCUGUGACCUUUUUGCUGACUCUGAGAAGGAGGAGGAAGAUAUUGAGGAUAUUGAAGAAAACGCUAGACCUAAAAGAAGUGGACCGACGUUUGCCGAUGAGCUGGCGGCCAGGAUCAAAGGGGAUGGCGGGAGCCGAAUGGGACAGGAACAGACAAGUGAGCCAC